rnacentral:rRNA from 1 species
GCGGAGGGUCAUUACUUUCAUAUGAAGGCGGGCUGGAACCUCUCGGGGUUACAGCCUUGCUGAAUUAUUCACCCUUGUCUUUUGCGUACUUCUUGUUUCCUUGGUGGGUUCGCCCACCACUAGGACAAACAUAAACCUUUUGUAAUUGCAAUCAGCGUCAGUAACAAAUUAAUAAUUACAACUUUCAACAACGGAUCUCUUGGUUCUGGCAUCGAUGAAGAACGCAGCGAAAUGCGAUAAGUAGUGUGAAUUGCAGAAUUCAGUGAAUCAUCGAAUCUUUGAACGCACAUUGCGCCCUUUGGUAUUCCAAAGGGCAUGCCUGUUCGAGCGUCAUUUGUACCCUCAAGCUUUGCUUGGUGUUGGGCGUCUUGUCUCUAGCUUUGCUGGAGACUCGCCUUAAAGUAAUUGGCAGCCGGCCUACUGGUUUCGGAGCGCAGCACAAGUCGCACUCUCUAUCAGCAAAGGUCUAGCAUCCAUUAAGCCUUUUUUUCAACUUUUGACCUCGGAUCAGGUAGGGAUACCCGCUGAACUUAAGCAUAUCAU